UUGGUUUGAUCUUGGACAAAUAGACUUAGAACUUAGGCAACAUUCCUAUGCUGAAGGACUUGGUCAAUGCCAACAUGUGCGGAACUAAGUGCUUGCAAUUUGAAACUUCAUCUGAUACAUCAUUCAAGAUCCCUCUGAGUUCAUCUGCAACAUGAUCAUUGUGAAGUUGUUAUUUUGAACCUGUGACUUGUGGAAUCCAUCUGUUACAUGGGCUAAUCUGAAGAAGAUCAUGGAAUAGCUAAA
rnacentral:lncRNA from 1 species